UACAUGCAAGUCGAACGAACUCUGGUAUUGAUUGGUSYUGCAUCAUGAUUUACAUUUGAGUGAGUGGCGAACUGGUGAGUAACACGUGGGAAACCUGCCCAGAAGCGGGGGAUAACACCUGGAAACAGAUGCUAAUACCGCAUAACAACUUGGACCGCAUGGUCCGAGUUUGAAAGAUGGCUUCGGCUAUCACUUUUGGAUGGUCCCGCGGCGUAUUAGCUAGAUGGUGAGGUAACGGCUCACCAUGGCAUGAUACGUAGCCGACCUGAGAGGGUAAUCGGCCACAUUGGGACUGAGACACGGCCCAAACUCCUACGGGAGGCAGCAGUAGGGAAUCUUCCACAAUGGACGAAAGUCUGAUGGAGCAACGCCGCGUGAGUGAAGAAGGGUUUCGGCUCGUAAAACUCUGUUGUUAAAGAAGAACAUAUCUGAGAGUAACUGUUCAGGUAUUGACGGUAUUUAACCAGAAAGCCACGGCUAACUACGUGCCAGCAGCCGCGGUAAUACGUAGGUGGCAAGCGUUGUCCGGAUUUAUUGGGCGUAAAGCGAGCGCAGGCGGUUUUUUAAGUCUGAUGUGAAAGCCUUCGGCUCAACCGAAGAAGUGCAUCGGAAACUGGAAAACUUGAGUGCAGAAGAGGACAGUGGAACUCCAUGUGUAGCGGUGAAAUGCGUAGAUAUAUGGAAGAACACCAGUGGCGAAGGCGGCUGUCUGGUCUGUAACUGACGCUGAGGCUCGAAAGUAUGGGUAGCAAACAGGAUUAGAUACCCUGGUAGUCCAUACCGUAAACGAUGAAUGCUAAGUGUUGGAGGGUUUCCGCCCUUCAGUGCUGCAGCUAACGCAUUAAGCAUUCCGCCUGGGGAGUACGGCCGCAAGGCUGAAACUCAAAGGAAUUGACGGGGGCCCGCACAAGCGGUGGAGCAUGUGGUUUAAUUCGAAGCUACGCGAAGAACCUUACCAGGUCUUGACAUACUAUGCAAAUCUAAGAGAUUAGACGUUCCCUUCGGGGACAUGGAUACAGGUGGUGCAUGGUGUCGUCAGCUCG
rnacentral:rRNA from 2 species